rnacentral:rRNA from 1 species
CUACGGGAGGCAGCAGUGGGGAAUAUUGCGCAAUGGGGGCAACCCUGACGCAGCCAUGCCGCGUGUGUGAAGAAGGCCUUCGGGUUGUAAAGCACUUUCAAUGGGGAAGAAAAGCGUAGCGUUAAUAGCGUUGCGCCGUGACGUUACCCAUAGAAGAAGCACCGGCUAACUCCGUGCCAGCAGCCGCGGUAAUACGGAGGGUGCGAGCGUUAAUCGAAAUUACUGGGCGUAAAGCGCGCGUAGGCGGUUUGUUAAGUCAGCUGUGAAAGCCCCGGGCUUAACCUGGGAACUGCAGUUGAUACUGGCCGACUAGAGUACGAGAGAGGGAGGUAGAAUUCCAUGUGUAGCGGUGAAAUGCGUAGAUAUAUGGAGGAAUACCGGUGGCGAAGGCGGCCUCCUGGCUCGAUACUGACGCUGAGGUGCGAAAGCGUGGGGAUCAAACAGGAUUAGAUACCCCCGUAGUC